UGGGUUGCCAUUUCCUUCUCCAGGAGAUCUUCCCGACCCAGGGAUUGAACACAAAUGCUGUGCUAAUAAAUUCUGGGGCACAUGUGAGGUCUCUGAUAGUCUGUGUAAGGCUGAGACUCACAUCUCUUCUCCCACAGAAAUGUGUGUGGGUGUGCACAGGGGUACAAGUGCACGUGUGUGUGUAUAAGUGACUGUGGCUUGUCUGAAGGUAUAGAUCCCCAUGGCGUCAGGAUGCUUGAGCUGGGUGUGAAACGCAAACCUACCCUCAGCCUCUGGAAUCGACUAUAGGACAAUGUGGCUCCGGAUAAGUGGCACAUUUCCUUCUAAAAGAUUGUAGGAGCAUCGAGAUGCCUUCUUUAUACCCCCUGUCUAUAGCAGGGACCUGAGCUAGCAUUUCAGAUCCCACCCCAGGCCCCACACCCGCCAGCUCCCUGCCCAGAGCCCCUUCCAGCAAUUUGGAUGCUCUGCUCCUGGCUCUGAGCCCCUCCUGCUCACCACUGGCCCAGGAUGCUGGCAAGAGUGUGUCUUGGACAGACCCUUCACACCUGGGCAUGGCCCUUGGCCAGGGCUCGCCCUGGAGACCAGAUCCUGACCUCGGGCUGAGCAGCACCCCCCAGGCUGUCUGCGGACUCCCCUCCCCUCCCCAGGUUUCAGGAAAGGCCCUUGCCCUGUGCCAGCAAAGCAGCCAAACGCCAGGAGGCUGUCUUUGUACAAACAGAAACCCUGGAAUUCCUCCCAGGAACCUUUGCCAUCUCUCUGAACGCGGGGAGGGGCUGCUACACACCCCGUAGGUUACAUGUGGGGGCGGGGAAGUGAGCCAGCCGUGGCCCAGGGUGGGAUCCCCGGAGGAGCCGGGAAGGAUGCCAACCGCAAACCGGGAAUUAAAGCAGGCUAAGAAGGCCCGCAAGAGAACCCUGCAACUGCGGAUAUUUGGGGCGGGGCUUCAGUGCGUCGGUCAGUCAUUCAACUCCUCCCAUGUCUCAGAAACAUGAAUGAUGAUGAGAGCUGACCCUGACCCAGAGCUCACUGUGUUCUAGGCACCCAAUCCCAAGCAUCUACAUACAUCAACUCACUUGAAAACCACACACCUACAAGGCGGGAUCAUGACAAUCUAGACCAGGCUCAUUACAUCGUCCGACCAGUAGCCACUUGCCACAUGAGGUCCUUGAGCCCCUGAAAUGUGGCUGACCCCAACUGAGCUGUAAGAGUAAAAUCCACAGUGUGAAUGUAAGACUGCAAAAUUCUCAUGGUGAUUUUUUCUAUUGACACCGUGUUGAAAAUACUGAUAAUUAUAUUGAUAAUAAUGAUAGUACUGUUACUAUAUCAGGCCAAAUGAAGUAUAUUAUUAAAAUAAAUUUCACCUUUGCUUUUUGGUAUGAUUGCUGGAAAAUAUACAAUUCCAUCUGGAACUCAUAUUAUGUUUGACCAGACUGUUUUGGCCUGAAAAAACACAAGGGUACAUAGAAAGGUUAUAGUGGGGAGGGGGAAAUACUGAGCUCCUCUCCUUCCAAGCUGUGCACCCUCAGACGAGUAACCUAGCCUCUCUGAGCUAGUUUCUUCAUCUAUAAAAAAGGCAUAACGUUAGUACCUGCUUCUUGGGUACUAACCCUCUUGGCAUGAUUAAAGAGUGAAAGAGAGGUAAAACACACGAAGACCCAGCACAGCCAAGGAGGAGCGGGAACCGACCCUCCUUCCAAACAGCAGGGGAGGGGCAUCCCGUCUUAAGUGGGAGCACCGGCUGCAGACAAGAGUGCAGAUCCGAACGAGUGAUCAGAGGUUUAUCAAGGCCCCAGGCUCAGUACCGGGUGGGCAAGAAGAGGGGCAGAACAGUCGGUGGACGGUGCUGGGUUCACUGCUGAGCUGAUCUUCAGAAGAUCUCAGGGUUUCCAAGUCCUGGACAGCUUCUCAGCACAUGUAGAGGGAGUCAAGGAAGAUUUCUGGGUUAUCAGAUAGGAGAGGGAAAUACAGAUAGUGAUGGUGACGAUGGUGAUGGUGAUGAUGGUGAUGGUGCUGCUGGUGCUGCUGGUGAUAGUGGUAAUGAUGAUGGUGAUGGUGCUGCUGCUGAUGGUGGUAAUGAUGGUGAUGCUAAUGGUGG
ensembl:lncRNA